AUGUACAUUGGUAACCCUGGCCUAUGUGGACAUCUAAUUCCGAUGCAAUGCCCUGGUCCUCUUAAAGAUCCAUCGACCAUCGGAGAUUCAGCAAGAUGGUUGGAUGAUGGCUUGUCUCAAAUGGAUUUUCUUCUUGGAUUAAUUAUUGGUUUUGUGGCGGGCUCUUGGAUGGUGUUUUGUGGACUUCUCUUCAAGAAGAGAUGGAGGUAUGCUUAUUUCAGGCUACUCGACAAGCUAUAUGACAGGUUGUAUGUCAUUUCUGUUAUUACUUGGCAAAAAUGGUUCGGACCACGGGUGUGA
rnacentral:rRNA from 1 species